UAAACGUAUUUAAACUGAGGAGAAAAUUAUCAAAGCUAAGCCGUCUAGCGUCAGAAAAAAGAAACGUUUACAUGAAAACAAUGUCCGCUCUAGCUCUUUGACAGUUGAAAGAAAGAACUAACAAACGAAGGCAAAUAACUUUGAUACUCACGUUAUAUUCUCCCCUCCAAAUUUACAUCUCGUCUUCACCAAAAAGCCACCACCUCAGCAUCACACAUCACCACAGACGAAAGCACCACUGAGAUUGCUGAGGAACUAUCGUAGCUAAUACUUUCCACCGGCUGGUUGUAAUGCAACAAAGAAGCUCAGACUUUACUAGGUUGUUAAUCCUAUUAGUUGCCAACUUGCGAAAGAAGAUUAAACGAAGAAAUUAAAGAAGAGAAAAAGAUUAAAAGAACGAUUCAUAUGGCUCAGUUUGCGUUGGCAUCAAUCCGCCAAGCGGAAACAAGUGAUUUUAAGAAAUAACAAAAUUUCCUUAAUUGCUUUAGUUUAUUUUUUUUUUUCGAU